rnacentral:tRNA from 1 species
GCACUCGUAGCUCAGCUGGAUAGAGCGUUGCCCUCCGAAGGCAAAGGUCACUGGUUCGACUCCAGUCGGGUGCACCA